rnacentral:rRNA from 1 species
CUACGUGCCAGCAGCCGCGGUAAUACGUAGGGCGCGAGCGUUGUCCGGAAUUAUUGGGCGUAAAGGGCUUGUAGGCGGUUGGUCGCGUCUGCCGUGAAAUCCUCUGGCUUAACUGGGGGCGUGCGGUGGGUACGGGCUGACUUGAGUGCGGUAGGGGAGACUGGAACUCCUGGUGUAGCGGUGGAAUGCGCAGAUAUCAGGAAGAACACCGAUGGCGUAGGCAGGUUACUGGGCCAUUUCUGACGCUAAGGCACGAAAGCGUGGGGAGCGAACCGGAUUAGAUACCCGGGUAGUCCACGCCGUAAACGAUGGAUACUAGCUGUUGGAGGUAUCGACCCCUUCAGUAGCGAAGCUAACGCGUUAAGUAUCCCGCCUGUGGAGUACGGCCGCAAGGCUAAAACAUAAAGGAAUUGACGGGGACCCGCACAAGCGGUGGAUUAUGUUCUUUAAUUCGAUGAUAACCGAAGAACCUUACCAGGGCUUGACAUCCAG